ACAUGCCCAGAUUCACACCAAUAAACAUGAACACUUCUCCACACUUCCUCGCAACCUGAAAAAGUGCAAGUGAAAGAAAACAAUGUCUACUAAAUUAAUGACCUUUUCAUUCUACUUCCUCACACUAUGUUGCUUCGUUUCAGUUGUUGAAAGUAGAAAACUAGGGUUUAAUUCAAGCUUAUUCCAGGAGGUCAACGGUAACAAUGAUGGUGAUGAUUCAAUUGUUUACAUAUGGCCAUUACCUUCAAAGUACACUUAUGGAAAUAAUACAAUUUCCAUCAAUCCUGAUCUUUCUUUAGAAAUAAGUGGAAAUGGUGGAUAUUCAAUUAUUGUUAGUGAAGGGUUUCAGAGGUAUCGAGAGAUUAUAUUUAAACAUCAUUCUAGAAAGAAGAGUGGAGUUCUCUAUGAUGUUAAUAAGCUCAAGAUAAUCGUUAAUUCCGAUAACGAGACAUUGAAUCUGAACGUGGAUGAGAGCUAUUCUUUGUUUAUAACGGCUGAAAAUGGCAGUUCAAUAAUUCAAGGGGCUUCGAUUGAGGCAAAUACUGUUUUCGGUGCAUUACGUGGGUUAGAGACGUUCAGUCAGUUAUGUUCAUUCGACUAUGGAACCAAAUCUGUACAAGUUUACAAGGCGCCAUGGUAUAUACAGGAUGAACCAAAAUUUGUAUUUCGUGGGCUUCUUCUUGAUACUUCUCGUCAUUUUCUACCUAUAGAUGUGAUUAAGCAAGUUAUCGAGUCCAUGUCUUAUGCUAAACUUAAUGUUCUUCAUUGGCACAUCAUUGAUGAACAGUCGUUUCCUUUGGAGGUGCCCUCACAUCCAUAUUUGUGGAAAGGUUCAUAUACAAAGUUUGAGCGCUACACUGUUGAAGAUGCUUAUGAUAUUGUUGACUUUGCCAAAAUGAGAGGCAUUAAUGUAAUGGCGGAGAUUGAUGUUCCCGGUCAUGCGGAAUCAUGGGGUAGAGGAUAUCCUGAACUUUGGCCUUCUGAAACCUGUAGGGAGCCUCUUGAUGUCACAAAAAACUUUACUUUUGAUGUGGUUUCAAGCAUUUUGGCAGAUAUGAGGAAAAUUUUCCCAUUUGAACUUUUCCAUCUAGGCGGUGACGAGGUUAAUACAGAUUGCUGGAGCUCAACUCCACAUGUGAAGCACUGGCUUCAGGAACACAACAUGACGACAAAAGAUGCAUAUCGGUAUUUUGUACUGAGGGCUCAAGAAAUAGCAAUUUCUAAAAAUUGGACUCCUGUCAACUGCUCAGGGAAGAAACCUACAACUCGUUCAAGGGAAAUCUUAACCCUCGUACGGUGGUACACAACUGGUUGGGCCCAGGAGUCUGUCCAAAAGCUGCUGCGGAUGGCUUCAGAUGCAUAUAUAGCAACCAAGGAGUAUGGUACUUGGAUCAUUUGGAUGUACCUUGGGAGGAUGUUUACAAGAGUGAGCCUCUGGAAGGAAUAAGUGAUGGUUCACAUAAAAAACUUGUACUUGGAGGUGAAGUUUGCAUGUGGGGUGAAACAGCCGAUUCUUCAGAUGUCCAACAAACAAUAUGGCCACGCGCUGCGGCUGCUGCAGAACGCAUGUGGAGCAGUAGAGAUAUGACUUCUGCAAGAAAUAUGAGCUCGACUGUGUUACCUAGGUUGGAAUACUUCAGAUGCUUGUUAAAUCGACGUGGGGUGCCAGCAGCACCAGUGAAUAAUUAUUAUGCACGAAGGCCUCCUGUCGGACCUGGAUCAUGCUACUUGCAGUGAUUCUACAAUUGCUGCCACGUUUGUUUGUUUGUACAUUAUAUGCUUUCUUCUUCUGUCAGUAAUGAUUCUGCUGUUUCAAUAACUCUGUUGCUAUGCAAAUCCAUUAUUUGAAAGUUGUUCAACCAGUCUACCUGGUUACAAUGCUUAUAGCCUAUACUGGCUAGCCGAUUAAGAUCUUUAAGUUUUUGGAUUCAAGAUCCUUACAGUAACAGUUGUUGAACUGAGUUUUUAAGCUCAAAAUCUCUUCGAUCAAUGCAGUUGGCUUGCUAGGCGAAUGUUCCUGUGUUU